GAUGUGAAUCCCACAAUGAAACUUUGAAUCCCACACUUAAUUUGUAGUUUCAACUUCCCAAGAAAGUUCUAAACAGAUUUAAGACAAACAAAACCUUGACCCAAUGCUUAAGAAAACAUGAACCAAAGGUAUAGAGAAUGGUAUUGACGCCACACUCAAGAAAUAGAUGAGAAGGUGAGUGAUAAGUCUAAAUUUGGAACGCCACAAGAAUGCAAAUUCUUGAUAAGUUCACUAGUUCUCAA
rnacentral:lncRNA from 1 species